AACGAACGCUGGCGGCAUGCCUAACACAUGCAAGUCGAACGAAGCCUUCAGGCUUAGUGGCGCACGGGUGCGUAACGCGUGGGAAUCUGCCCUUGGGUUCGGAAUAACAGUUAGAAAUGACUGCUAAUACCGAAUGAUGUCUUCGGACCAAAGAUUUAUCGCCCAAGGAUGAGCCCGCGUCGGAUUAGCUAGUUGGUGAGGUAAAGGCUUACCAAGGCGACGAUCCGUAGCUGGUCUGAGAGGAUGAUCAGCCACACUGGGACUGAGACACGGCCCAGACUCCUACGGGAGGCAGCAGUGGGGAAUAUUGGACAAUGGGCGAAAGCCUGAUCCAGCAAUGCCGCGUGAGUGAUGAAGGCCUUAGGGUUGUAAAGCUCUUUUACCCGGGAUGAUAAUGACAGUACCGGGAGAAUAAGCCCCGGCUAACUCCGUGCCAGCAGCCGCGGUAAU
rnacentral:rRNA from 1 species